rnacentral:lncRNA from 1 species
AGGAUUUGAUUUAGAAUUUAGUUUAGAUUAUGGUUUGGCUAGAAUUUUCUAAAGUUUGGCUAGGAUUUGGUUAGGAUUUAAGAUUUUAUUUGAUUAGAAAUUGAUUAGAAUUUGAUUAGGAUUUGACUAAGAUUUAUUUAGGAUUUAUCUAGAAUUUGAUUAAGGCUUAUUUAAGAUUUGUCUAGAAUUUUUACUAGGAUUUGUUUAGGAUUUGAUUAGAGUUUGAUUAAGAUUUAUCUAAGGUUUGUUUAGGAUUUGGUUAGGGCUUAUUUAGGAUUUUUCUAGGAUUUAAUAAAGAUUAUUUAGGAUUUGAUUAGGGCUUAUUUAGGAUUUGAUUAGGAUUUAUUUAAGAUUUGAUUAGGAUUUGGUUAAUAUUUAUUUCAAAUUUGAUUAAGCUUUGUCUAAGAUUUGAUUAAGGCUAUUUAGAGUUUGACUAAGAUUUUAUUAAGAUUUGAUUAAGAUUUGAUUAAGGUUUGACUAAGAUUUGACUAAAUUUUGACUAGGUUUUGAUUAAGAUUUAUUUAAGGUUUUUAUUUUAAUAUUUUAUUAAGAUUUUUAUUUUAAUAUAUAUUUUUUUGAAUUUCUAUGUUAUUUCUUUAUGAUUUCUUAAAAAGAUUUGUGAGAAUUAUUUUUA